GAUGAACGCUGGCGGCGUGCCUAAUACAUGCAAGUCGAGCGAACAGACGAUGAGCUUGCUCCUCUGACGUUAGCGGCGGACGGGUGAGUAACACGUGGAUAACCUACCUAUAAGACUGGGAUAACUUCGGGAAACCGGAGCUAAUACCGGAUAAUAUAUUGAACCGCAUGGUUCAAUAGUGAAAGACGGUUUUGCUGUCACUUAUAGAUGGAUCCGCGCCGCAUUAGCUAGUUGGUAAGGUAACGGCUUACCAAGGCAACGAUGCGUAGCCGACCUGAGAGGGUGAUCGGCCACACUGGAACUGAGACACGGUCCAGACUCCUACGGGAGGCAGCAGUAGGGAAUAUUCCGCAAUGGGCGAAAGCUUGACGGAGCAACGCCGCGUGAGUGAUGAAGGUCUUCGGAUCGUAAAACUCUGUUAUUAGGGAAGAACAAAUGUGUAAGUAACUAUGCACGUCUUGACGGUACCUAAUCAGAAAGCCACGGCUAACUACGUG
rnacentral:rRNA from 1 species